CACGUAGGGUGCGAGCGUUGUCCGGAAUUAUUGGGCGUAAAGAGCUCGUAGGCGGUCCGUCACGUCGGAUGUGAAAUUCCAGGGCUCAACCCUGGACCUGCAUUCGAUACGGGCGGACUAGAGUUCGGUAGGGGAGACUGGAAUUCCUGAUGUAGCGGUGAAAUGCGCAGAUAUCAGGAGGAAACACCGGUGGCGAAGGCGAGUCCCUGGACAACACCUGACACUGAGGCACGAAAGCCGGGGGAGCAAACAGG
rnacentral:rRNA from 1 species